GACGAACGCUGGCGGCGUGCUUAACACAUGCAAGUCGAACGGAAAGGCCCUGCUUUUGUGGGGUGCUCGAGUGGCGAACGGGUGAGUAACACGUGAGUAACCUGCCCUUGACUUUGGGAUAACUUCAGGAAACUGGGGCUAAUACCGGAUAGGAGCUCCCGCUGCAUGGUGGGGGUUGGAAAGUUUCGGUGGUUGGGGAUGGACUCGCGGCUUAUCAGCUUGUUGGUGGGGUAGUGGCUUACCAAGGCUUUGACGGGUAGCCGGCCUGAGAGGGUGACCGGCCACAUUGGGACUGAGAUACGGCCCAGACUCCUACGGGAGGCAGCAGUGGGGAAUAUUGCACAAUGGGCGGAAGCCUGAUGCAGCAACGCCGCGUGCGGGAUGACGGCCUUCGGGUUGUAAACCGCUUUCGCCUGUGACGAAGCGUGAGUGACGGUAAUGGGUAAAGAAGCACCGGCUAACUACGUG
rnacentral:rRNA from 1 species